rnacentral:rRNA from 1 species
CCUAUGGGUGGCAGCAGUGGGGAAUAUUGCACAAUGGGGGAAACCCUGAUGCAGCGACGCCGCGUGAGUGAAGAAGUAACUCGUUAUGUAAAGCUCUAUCAGUAGGGAAGAAAAUGACGGUACCUGAGUAAGAAGCCCCGGCUAACUACGGGCCAGCAGCCGCGGUAAUACGUAGGGGGCAAGCGUUAUCCGGAAUUACUGGGUGUAAAGGGAGCGUAGACGGCAAUGCAAGUCCGGAGUGGAAUGCGGCAGCUCAACUGCCGAACUGCUCUGGAAACUGUAUGGCUUGAGUGCAGGAGGGGUAAGCGGAAUUCCUGGUGUAGCAGUGAAAUGCGUAGAUAUCAGGAGGAACACCGGUGGCGAAGGCGGCUUACUGGACUGUAACUGACGUUGAGGCACGAAAGCGUGGGGAGCGAACAGGAUUAGAUACCCGAGUAGUC